rnacentral:ncRNA from 1 species
CCCACCGAAUUUAAUCAUAUUAGUCAGCAGAAGAAAGAAACUAACCAACAUUCCCUCAGUAAAGAUGAGUGAACAGAGAAGAGCCCAGUACCAAAUCCCCACCACAGGGCUCCAGAAAUGUCACAUAUGGAAGCCCCAAUCCCGUGACAUUCAAGGGUCGCUCAAGUCCUUCUGAUCAAGGCACCGACCAGUGGAUUGUGCAAGUGCAGUAGUGUCCACUGACCGGAUCUCCCAGGAGUCGGAUUGCUUGGAAAUGCAGCCUUAAGCACUGGUGAACUCCAUCUAAGGCUAAAUACCAGCAUGAGACCGGAUGGUCCAAAAGUGUCUGGGCAG